AUUUAAUUUAACUCUAUAAGCUCCCCAAAAAUCUGGCAUUCAGGAGAAACUGGUGAUGAAAAAGCCUACCAAAUUGUCCCAUGUUAAAUAGAAGUUGUCUUCUUUGCAACACCUUGGUAGAGGUAAAGGUCCAUAACGGGCUUCUAUUUUGUUCAAAAAGUUACAUAAAAUCGCAGAAAAUUGGAAAAAAAACAAAACUGAAGCUUGCACGUCUGUAAUGUGAUUUUAGAAC